rnacentral:rRNA from 1 species
AGAGUUUGAUCAUGGCUCAGAGUGAACGCUGGCGGCGUGGAUUAGGCAUGCAAGUCGAACGAUCCCUUCGAAACAAACCGAGGUAGCUUGCUACCGAAGAGAGUUUCAUUUUGGGAUAGUGGCAAACGGGUGAGUAACGCGUAGAUAAUCUUCCUCAAAAUCGGGCAUAGCUCUGCGAAAGCGGAGGUAAUACCUGAUGUGGUCAUGGAGCCGUAUGACUCUAUGAUUAAAGGCAGGGACCUUCGGGCCUGCCGUUUUGUGAUGAAUCUGCGUCCUAUCAGCUUGUUGGUGGGGUAAUGGCCUACCAAGGCGCUUGACGGGUAGCUGGUCUGAGAGGAUGGUCAGCCACACUGGGACUGAGACACUGCCCAGACUCCUACGGGAGGCUGCAGUCGAGAAUCUUUAGCAAUGGACGAAAGUCUGACUAUGCGACGCCGCGUGCAGGAUGAAGGUUUUCGGAUCGUAAACUGCUUUUGUUAGGGAAGAACCCUCUGAUGUUAAUAGCAUCAGAGCUGACGGUACCUAACGAAUAAGCCACGGCCAACUCCGUGCCAGCAGCCGCGGUAAUACGGAGGUGGCAAGCGUUACUCGGAAUUAUUGGGUGUAAAGGGCAAGUAGGCGGCCUAUUAAGUGAGGGGUGAAAUCCUGCGGCUCAAUCGCAGAACUGCCCUUCAAACUAAAAGGCUUGAGGCUGGAAGAGGAAAGUGGAAUUAGCAGAGUAAGGGUGAAAUCUGUAGAUACUGCUAAGAAUACCUACGGCGAAGGCAGCUUUCUGGUCCAGAUCUGACGCUAAAUUGCGAAAGCUAGGGUAGCAAACAGAAUUAGAUACUCUGGUAGUCCUAGCCGUAAACGAUGAGCACUAGGUGUUGGGACUUCGGUUUCAGUGCCGCAGCUAACGCAUUAAGUGCUCCACCUGGGGACUACGGUCGCAAGGCUAAAACUCAAAGGAAUUGACGGGGACCCGCACAAGCGGUGGAACAUGUGGUUUAAUUCGAUGCUACGCGAAGAACCUCACCAGGACUUGACAUGUAGCGAGUAGUGUAUCCGAAAGGUGAGCCACCCGUUAAGUUCGGGAAGCUACACAGGUGCUGCAUGGCUGUCGUCAGCUCGUGUCGUGAGAUGUUGGGUUAAGUCCCGCAACGAGCGCAACCAUUGCCUCAUGUUGCUAUCAUACUCUGAUCCUUCGGGAUUUUGUGUGAGCACUCUUGAGGGACUGCCUGGAAUAACCAGGAGGAAGGUGGAGAUGACGUCAAGUCAGUACGGCCUUUAUGUCCUGGGCUACACACGUGUUACAAUGGAUGGUACAAAGGGUUGCCAACCCGCGAGGGGGAGCUAAUCUCAAAAAACCAUCCUCAGUUCGGAUAGGAGUCUGCAAUUCGACUCCUUGAAGCCGGAAUCGCUAGUAAUGGGAGAUCAGCUCGCUCCCGUGAAUACGUUCCCGGGUCUUGUACACACCGCCCGUCAAGCGAUGAAAGCCGGAAGUACCCGAAGUCCUAUGUAGAUAGGCCGAAGGUAAAGCCGGUGAUUGGCGCUAAGUCGUAACAAGGUA